GAUGAACGCUGGCGGCAGGCUUCACACAUGCAAGUCGCGCGAUUAAAGCUCCCUUCGGGGAGUGUAUAACGCGGCGGACGGGUGAGUAACAGGUGGACAAUCUGCCCUUCGGCGGGGGAUAACGGCUGGAAACGGCCGCUAAUACCGCGUACGUCUGCUGCACACAAGUGCGGUAGGGAAAGGCGCUUUCAAGCGUCGCCGAAGGAUGGGUCCGCCUCCCAUUAGGUAGUUGGUGAGAUAACAGCCCACCAAGCCUACGAUGGGUAGCCGAGCUGAGAGGUUGAUCGGCCACACUGGAACUGAGACACGGUCCAGACACCUACGGGUGGCAGCAGUGGGGAAUAUUGGUCAAUGGGCGCAAGCCUGAACCAGCCAUGCCGCGUGGAGGACGAAGGCCUUCGGGUCGUAAACUCCUUUUCUGAGGGAAGAACCGCCGGGAGAGGAAAUGCUCCUGGUCUGACGGUACCUCAGGAAUAAGCAACGGCUAACUCCGUGCCAGCAGCCGCGGUAAUACGGAGGUUGCAAGCGUUGUUCGGAAUUACUGGGCGUAAAGGGAGCGCAGGCGGUUAGGUUAGUCUGAAGUGAAAGCCCGGGGCUCAACCCCGGAAGGGCUUUGGAUACUGCCUAACUUGAGUACGUGAGAGGAGAGCGGAAUUCCAGGUGUAGCGGUGAAAUGCAUAGAUAUCUGGAGGAACACCGGUGGCGAAAGCGGCUCUCUGGCACGCUACUGACGCUGAGGCUCGAAAGCGUGGGGAGCGAACG
rnacentral:rRNA from 1 species